rnacentral:lncRNA from 1 species
CAAUCAUUUAUUAAUGAAGGAUAACAUUCCUAUUCUUUAAUAUUUUUAAGUUUUCAUCUUUUAGAUUAAAUAAAUAAUACACAAGGGAGAAACUGAAAAUGAACCACUCAUUUUGUUCAUCAAAAAUUAAUUAGCAUUAUAUUCCUCUGUUCUCUGACUGAGCUUGCCAUCUUGAAUAUCAGAAAUUAAGUGAACACCAUGGAUGGAUUAAUCCAUAACACCUCUUAAAUUUCUCAUCUGGUCCCAGUGUUUAACACUUUACCAUGAGGAUUUCAUUGUGGGUACUGGGGAGGACCUUCAAACCAGGGAGCAUUCUCAUAAGCAAAAUUCCAAAAUAAGAUUUUAUUUCUUUCUCAAUACACCAAUUUCAAUAUUGCCUUUUAACUUGACUUUCCAUAAAAGACUAAAAGUGCAUAACCAGGCUCACGGGAAUUCCUGUAGAUGACGAUGUCUAAGGGUCUAUUUCAUCUUAGAAAUGUAUCGGUGACCAUCGCUUAGAAACAUGCAAGGGUGGUCCAUGCAACAUCAGCUUUGAACAGAAUAUUCCUGAGCUUUGCAUCAGAACUAAGAACCCAAAGACACAGUGGUCAGUGGGUAUGGGUGAUCAACAGCCAACCCAGCUGUUUUAGACACUCGUAAGCACCCCAUUUUUCAGUUUGCCACCUUAAUUAUAAUACGAUCUAAAAGAUUUAGUAGGCCUGCAAAGCAGAAGCAGUGCACCAAAACACUUUUAAAAUACAGUAUGCCUAACUUUAGAAAGAUUUUCAAACAGUAGAUAGCAAAUUCUGAUGAGGAAAGUUAGUUUGAUAAACAGUUUUAGACACAAUUUUGGCUUUCACUGCAAAGUCCAAAGCUUCUGUUUAGUUUUAGAAGUUGAUUUCUACUUUUCCAGCUUUUCUACAAGUUCAUGUUUCACAAACAGGAGUACUUUCUCCUCUGAAAGUUACCUUACCUGCCAUCAGGGUGUGUGUGUGUGUGUGUGUGUGUGUGUGUGUGUGUGUGUGUGUGUGAAAGUUACCUUACCUGCCAUCAGGGUGUGUGUGUGUGUGUGUGUGUGUGUGUGUGUGUGUGUGUGUGUGUGUCAGGAGUACUUUCUCCUCUGAAAGUUACCUUACCUGCCAUCAGAGUGUGUGUGUGUGUGUGUGUAUUGUUAAU